UACAGAGGGUGCAAACGUUGCUCGGAAUCACUGGGCGUAAAGGGUGCGUAGGCGGGUCUUUAAGUCAGGGGUGAAAUCCUGGAGCUCAACUCCAGAACUGCCUUUGAUACUGAGGAUCUUGAGUUCGGGAGAGGUGAGUGGAACUGCGAGUGUAGAGGUGAAAUUCGUAGAUAUUCGCAAGAACACCAGUGGCGAAGGCGGCUCACUGGCCCGAUACUGACGCUGAGGCACGAAAGCGUGGGGAGCAAACAGGG
rnacentral:rRNA from 1 species